CUUUUUCCUGUUCUGGAUAUGAAUCUUGAUCAGGAAAUCAUUGAAGAGAAGAGAAAAAAUUCAAAACUGUCAAGUUACAUUGAGACUUUCUCCUUCCUCUGCAGAGGAAUGGCACCACUUCGUCCUGAGUAUUCAGCCUCUGUGCUGCGGUGACUCUUCAAGUUAUUGCUGAGGACACCUGCAGGAGAGGACAGUGCAGCAAGCCCAGGAUACAGUCUGGAGACCAGGAGUGUGAAAGGGAUGUUCUAAUGAGCUCAUUCACUGUAAGCCAAGCUUCCAGAUCCAGCUUCAGCAACUUCCGACAGUUUUGACAAUGAAGAGGUAGCUUGGCAUUUCUUCUUGGGUACAUAAGUGCCGUCUAUCAUCCCAGGUAUCAAGUGAUUUCAAGAGCUGCAGAGUAGAGGCUGAAGUGCUCUGGCUAUGGAGCACAUCCCAGGUGAGAAAACUGAAGAUCAAGUUGUGUCAAACAGAAAUGAGAUUCUUCUGUAAAGAUUUUGAAGAAUAAGCGAAGAUAUGCCAAAUAGGAGUGUCUAAAGAUGAACCGUGUAGAAAUAAACAGCGUACAAAUUUAUGAAAAUUCAAAGGAUUUAAAGAAAUUAUUCAAGGGAUUCAGUGUCUGGUGGGAAUUACAAAAGAUUUUCUGUAAUUUGAUGAAUUAAUUUACAUAAAUUUGGAUCAUUUUUGAGAUUGAAAAUUUAAACCCAGAAGGUGGAAUUUAUGUCUAUUUAAUUAUUCACUUUUCAAAGCACCUGUGUCCAAAAAUGACUCCUAUUUCUAUCACAUAUCAGUUAUGGAAAAUUGAGCAAAUUACUUGACUCCUUUGGAUCCUAAAUGUAACAUCUGUAGACUGGGGGUAAUUAUGGUACUAGACUCAAUAAUUACUCCAACAUUAUUUCUGUAAAGAGCUUAGAAGAUGCCCUAUAGACGUUAGCUAUCAGUUUCAUUAUAAAGCAAAGCAUAUUUUGCAUAGUAAGCAUAGUUUAAAUAAUUUAUAUACACUCUAUAUUUGCAUAUCAAUGAUUGACAAAAGCUCAUAUAGUGUGUUUAUUUGUUUUGAUUUUGAGCUUUAUGGUUAUUUGGACAAAUUUUUAGACUUAAGCUUCCUAAGUACAUAGAUGUUAGAGACUCAUAAUUAUAUGAAAUAAAAUAUAUGAAAUGUGGGCUAGCAAUAAUUCCUCCAGUCCCUUUCCUUUCUAUAUGCCACUCAAAAUAUUUUCUGUCCUAGUUUGGUUUUCAGCUUGUGAUGGAUUUUCAGGAAUUUGAGAGGUGUUAAAAGGAGAAAAAACUGUAUGGUAGGACUCAGGCAUCCCUUUCUUUCAUUAUCUCAAAGACUAGGGAGCAAGAGAAUGGAAAUAGAAUGCCACAACCAUCUCUCAAUCGUGAAUUUCAUCAUCUGAAAUGAGGCACAGCACAAAAUUAAAGUUUUCAAAAAGGAAAACAAAAAUGCCUGGAGGGACUCUCUUUCUAAAAGAGCUGAGUGAACACUUCUUUCCUAAGCACGGUUAUUCACAAGGGGGGCUUUCUUUAAGUCCUGCAAAAACAGAAGCUAAAAUCUACCAGUCUCACAUGGGGUUAUAAGCUAACAUACUGUAAAUAAAAGAUCUCUGAUUUCCAUUAACAGAAAUCACACCUGAAUAAAAGAUUCACUCCUGCCUCAGUGCAGAAGAUCCUUUGGGUGCCACCUGAGGAAGCAAGUGGACUGUAUUCUAGUCGUUUCUGAAGUCUGCUUUCAGGAAGACACCAGAUGGAUUACAAAUUACAUAAGAUUCUUCCUGGAACAUUUCCUGAUGUCAUUGUCCAGAGAUUUUCUUAUGGGUUUUUACUAUAGCAAUCUAGAGAUAGAAUUCCUGCUAGGAGUAGAGGAAGGGUUUUUAUAAUUUCUAUAUUGGUGCUGGCAGCUUUGCUUUUUCUAAAAAAAAAAUUGCCUCUUUCAUUUACUCUAUUUUGGUAGUAAUAUAUAAGGUAUUUAAUAGGUUGGCACUGUGUUUAGAAUUUAAAAAUAAAAGACACUAAAAUAACAUCAGUUAAAACAGAAUAUUUAUUGCUUGAAAAGUGACGGAGUCAAAUGGCAUUGAUUUCUAGCAUAAUGUACUAUGACCCUCAUCCAUCUGUUCAGAUCCUGAUGCAGAAAUCAAUGUAAUCUUUUUCUGGGGAAGCCCAAGGCAUUCUCUGCAUUUAGACAUAGGACUUUCAGACUGCUAGUGUGAUUAAAAAAUAAUCAAGACCUUCCAGAAGCUUCUUUUUCCAACCUACUCUAAAAAGUUUUCCCUUAAAAAUAACUUUUUCUGAGCAAAUUUUGUUAUUCAGCUUAUUUCUUUCAUUCUUUGCAUUUCAAUUACAGUACAGUUCUAUUGAUUAUAUCUCUUAAGAAUCCCAGCUGAGUGUAAGUAAAAGCACAUUUGUAGACUGGUUUAAAAUCUACCAUGAGUACAAUAUGACUACUCUUAAAGUAUCAAUAAAUAUUUAUGGUAGAAUAUUUCAAGGUUGUUAGGAAAGCGUGUCUGACCUCAGCUUUGGGCAGCAGGGGGCAUUUGUAUAGCUAUAAGAAAUUGUCUAAAAUUUUAUAGAUUUUGAUAUUGUUUCAAAUAUAUCUAAAAUUCCAGGUAUUUUUUUCUUGGACUGAAGACAAAAACUGAAAAUGAACUAACAUACCAAAAAGAGUUUCAAAAAUUUUAUUGUGCUAAAAUAAUUUCAUGUUUGCUAAGGCAAAAGCCUGAGAAUCUGAAAUGUAGCUUGUGCUUCAGCAGUUAAAAAAACAAGACAAAACAUUUUCACAUAAUUCUGAAAGGACUGUGUUGGACUAAAUCAAAGAAAAAUUGAAGUUUCUUUGGAAGUGGGAGAAAGUGGUGCUCACUUCUUCAUAUGGUAAGGUCAUAACAGAUUUUAUUUUCUUCUCUGACCUAAGUGGAUGUUAGGAACGUGACUUUUGUGAAAGCUGGAGACAAUAAUUCCCUUAGCAUCUUUUCUGUUUCUCUGUUCUUUAAGGCAUUGUCUGUCUGUCGGUGUCUCAAUCCAAUGUACACAACAGGAUAGAUGCAGAGAGGGCUGAUGGCCACUCUGAGUUUAUU